rnacentral:rRNA from 1 species
UAGCUAGUUGGUAGGGUAAGGGCCUACCAAGGCGACGAUCGUUAGCUGGUCUGAGAGGAUGGCCAGCCACACUGGAACUGAGACACGGUCCAGACUCCUACGGGAGGCAGCAGUGGGGAAUAUUGGACAAUGGGGGCAACCCUGAUCCAGCAAUGCCGCGUGUGUGAAGAAGGCCUGAGGGUUGUAAAGCACUUUCAGUGGGGAGGAGGAUUGAUUGGUUAAGAGCUGAUUGAUUGGACGUUACCCACAGAAGAAGCACCGGCUAACUCCGUGCCAGCAGCCGCGGUAAUACUGAGGGUGCAAGCGUUAAUCGGAAUUACUGGGCGUAAAGGGUGCGUAGGUGGUUUGAUGAGUUAUCUGUGAAAGCCCUGGGCUCAACCUGGGAAGGCCAGAUAAGACUGUUGGACUCGAGUAUGGGAGAGGGUAGUGGAAUUUCCGGUGUAGCGGUGAAAUGCGUAGAGAUCGGAAGGAACACCAGUGGCGAAGGCGGCUACCUGGCCUAAUACUGACACUGAGGCACGAAAGCGUGGGGAGCAAACAGGAUUAGAUACCCUGGUAGUCCACGCUGUAAACGAUGUCAACUAGCUGUUGGCCUUACGAAUGAGGUUAGUGGCGC